GCAGUUUUUAUUGGUGGCACAAACAGAUAACAUUGAGACAUCAGCAUGCCUCAUAAAUCCUUAGCAAGUGAAUUUUCUCCUCAAUGGAAAAGGAGUACUCAAUAGGACUAAUGUUCAAAUGGAUCCUGGACCACAGGUGCCAACUAAUGUGACUGGUAUGCUUAAAUUUGGGACAAAUCUUCUUCAAGCUGUGGGCCAGUUCAAUGGUCGUUAUGUUGUACUUGUUGCCUAUAUGAGUUUUACACCUUUGCCUGAGGAUCCAGUUCUUCAAGAUUAUCUUCAGCCUACUGUUACAUCUGUUGAUUCAGAUUCAGAUAUUAUCGAGGGGGCUUCACAGAUUUCACUUAAUUGUCCAAUAAGAUCAAGAUAACUCUGCAUCCUUGACAGAUCAACUUGAAACUCCUGAUAUAACCUCAUAGGAUACACAGAUCCGCAUGAUACUCCCUCUGGAAUCAAGGACUCAAUUCCUGCUUGGAUUAAGUUUUCUGUACAGGCUCCUGGUGAAAUUCCAUAUAGCGGAAUAUACUAUGAUCCCCCAGAAGAGGAUAAAAUAUGUCUUCAAACAUCCACAGCCAAAGAGACCAAAAUCACUUACGAAUAUGUAUGAGUCUCACAUCGGGAUCAGCAGUCAGUUGAGCAUGUUUUUCUUUCUUUAUGUGAUAUCAAUAAGUGAUUAAUUUCUUUUCCCUUUCCUUGUCUUAUUUCAAAGUCAAUGAUCUAUUACAUCAUAAAGUUUGGUCUUUUUAUUUUUUAUCAUGAAUGGCAUAACUUGUCUGAAGCCUUGCUGUGUCUCUUCCCUUUUCUUCCCUUUUACUCUUAGCCUCCCUACUAAUUCCUUGCCACUUAGACAGGUGGUUACACUUAGGGCCCAUCAUAGUGUGAGUCAUUGCUUCCAAGCUAUGACUCUUUAUUUACUGUGCACCCUAGUAAUGGGUGAGUUUUAGUCAGAUUAUUUUCCUAUGAUCUAGGAAAAGUUGUUUUCUCUCUUAAUAGCCACUGCAUUUAACUUUUGAAAACCAAGAUAUUGGCUAUCUUUAUUUGGUUGCUUUGAGGAAGCUUUAUUCAUGAUUAUGCCAGAAGAAAUCAAAUUGACUUGCACUACUAAGUAGACACCAUCCAAAACUAAAUUUGCUAUUGUUAAGAGUUAGGAAAGAGGGGAGGGAAAGUUAAGUAGCAACAGUUAGAGAAGUUACUUAAUUAGAGGGGUUAAGUAGAUACAAAUAGGGGAAGAAGGGUGGAAGGAUUCAUUCAGAGAUUUUAAACUUUUGUUAGAAAGGAGAAAUCCUUUGUGAAGGGAAAACUCUUGGAAGAGAAUUUUUUAAACCUAUCAUGAAUCAUUCGGUAAAACUUUCAGUUUCUUUGUCAAUUUCUCAUAUUUCUUUCCUGGGUUUGUAACAAUUGGUCCAAUCAUGAAUCAUUAUAAAUGCCUUUUCUAGAAAAACACUUGUUUGGCAACCUCCUCCAAUAACGAGUUUAGGCUUGCUUAAUUACGAUGGUGCCGUAGCAUCCAAUGAUCACAAAGUAGUUUGCAAUGGAAUAAUUUGAGAAUAUCUAGAUGCUCCCCUGUAGGUCUUCUCUCAUAAUAUGGCUCAUACUUUGUGAUUAUGGUGUAAUUAUGGGUCAUUUUUCUUGAUUUUUAGUUGAUUCUCUAAAGGAAGUUGCUUAAACUCAUGCUUGCUAUUCAAUUUUGAAUUAUAUAUAGUGAAUCUUGUUGCUCUAGUCAUGGUAGUGAAUUACUAUGAUAUAUUCCAAAUCUAAUCAAGUUACAGACAUAUUUGAGAAAAGAGUUUUAUUCAUAAACAAUAUGAUUCAUAUUUAAGGAAGCUCAAGUCUGGAUCCAAAUUCAAUUGCUUGCUGAUCAUUCUCAACUAUUCACUUUUGUUGCAUUUUUUAGUUUGAGUUUUUAGCUUCAUUGCAUAUAUAAAAAAUUCAUAAUUUAGAGAGCGAUCAUUGCUUUCUUAAUUAAAUAUUCUCACUAUGAUAUUUUUUCUCUCUUGAUAUGUAUUUCAUAUAUUACCUCACAUCAAUCACAAAUUUUUCCUCUCAUAUCAAAUUAAAUUACAUUUGUUUCCCCUUAC